ensembl:processed_transcript expressed sequence AV039307
GCAACGGCCGGCCUGUCCUGAGGAGAGAUGUAAGGCGCAGUGCUUCUGAGAGCCGACUUCAACCAUCACAGGUGAUCAGCAUCUUUUCAGAGAUCUAACCCAAGCUAAACUACACUCGAGAAACACCAAAUACAAAAGUGCAGAGAUGUUAGCCAGAUGGAGAAAUGUCCACAAAUGCUUAAUGUGACCUCAUUAACCAGUCUUGUUACAGUGUCCAGGCUGGGUGUGAACAGUGAUACUCCAGUGGCCUUCCUGCUUCAUCCUCCCAGGUAGCAAGGACUCCGUAUAGAUGUGCUGGCUUAGCAAAUGUUUAAAACUACUUAUUCUACUGGCAUAUUCACUUGAUACAUGUUAUCAGAUGACUCCAUACUCACUUUAGGAAAAUGCAGACUCCAGCACCACAAUGAAGUGCAUGAAAAACGCAUGCUCCAACCUCUUCCCCAUUCACUAUUUCUUGGCAACAGAUGUUCUGAGAACACAGGAUGGCCCCACAGAAAAGACAGAGGACAGGAUGCUUUCGCUCAUCAUCUGCAGACCGUGGACACCUCAACAGGGGAAGACACAUUCGUGUUGGAAAACAAGAAGCACAUCAUGUAUCUAUUUAGUAAUAAAGCCUGUUCCAUCACUCACCC